AGUUUUGGUGCUUAUUUGUUUUCAAGAAACGUACUCACUAUGUCUGUAGCUCCAAAAGAUGUACAUGAGAACCAGAUUCAAUUUGCACUAGAACGUGGUGUGCCUGCAAUGGUUGCAACAUUUGCAACAAGGAGACUCUUAUACCCGAGCCAAGCUUUUGACUUAAUUCAUUGCUCGAGAUGUAGAGUCAACUCGACUCGUGAUGAUGGGAUUUUGCUACUUGAGGUCAACAGAUUGCUAAGAGCAGGAGGGUAUUUUGCCUGGGCAACACAACCGGUUUACAAGCACGAACCACUGCUCGAAGAAGUUUGAUAUUCCAAACCCUAAACAGCGAUGAACGAAAAUGGUCAGGAAUUGGAAUUCGGGUUCGUCCAUGUUGGUGGGUUUGUACAGUGGAGAUGGUGGUGAUAUGUUACGGUGGUUAGUGGUGAUGGUUUCCGUUGAUGUGGUUACUGUUGUUGAUGUGGUUCAAGAAUAAGGUAUGAUGUUUCUAGAGCUUUGUGAUUUCCUUUUGCUUUUGUUGAGGUAUAUAUAUAGAGGUAUGUGUAUGUGUGUGUGUGUGUUUUCUGGCUGCUUUACUUUUGAUUUUUUUUUUAGAAAAAUGGGUUGUUUGACUAUAAAAGUCAAAUGUUGAUUUGGUUCUAUAUGUUUUAUUUGAAUGGUGUUAUUUGAUACCAGAUGAGGAAUUAGGUGAUAGAAAUGCAUCAAAUGAUGUUCAAUCAGGCUUCAAUAGUGUUUCAUUAGUUAUAUUU